GGCGGACGGGUGAGUAACACGUGGGUAACCUGCCUGUAAGACUGGGAUAACUCCGGGAAACCGGAGCUAAUACCGGAUAGUUCCUUGAACCGCAUGGUUCAAGGAUGAAAGACGGUUUCGGCUGUCACUUACAGAUGGACCCGCGGCGCAUUAGCUAGUUGGUGAGGUAACGGCUCACCAAGGCGACGAUGCGUAGCCGACCUGAGAGGGUGAUCGGCCACACUGGGACUGAGACACGGCCCAGACUCCUACGGGAGGCAGCAGUAGGGAAUCUUCCGCAAUGGACGAAAGUCUGACGGAGCAACGCCGCGUGAGUGAUGAAGGUUUUCGGAUCGUAAAGCUCUGUUGUUAGGGAAGAACAAGUGCAAGAGUAACUGCUUGCACCUUGACGGUACCUAACCAGAAAGCCACGGCUAACUACGUGCCAGCAGCCGCGGUAAUACGUAGGUGG
rnacentral:rRNA from 1 species